CAACAAGAAGAUCAUCAUCUGCUAUUGUUGGAGUAUUUCUUGAAACUAUGCUAUCAUUAGAAAGUAUACCAAGAAGGCCUGUUAACUUGUGCAAGUUUUUCUUCCAAAUCAGAGAUCCAUCUGAUGCUUUAACAGCAUACAGACUCAGUAUCCACAGAGGAAGAAGAAGAAGGCCAGAAAAUUUCCUGCAUAUUGUUGCUAUAGAAGUGAUUUUUUUAGCCAAUGUAACUGUCCAUGCAAUGUGAAUCCAAGCUGGAGGAGGAAUAAAGAAAAGUCAAAAUAUACCACCUUAAGAUGGGCUGAAAAGAGAGCAGAAGUGGUGAAGGCUGUCGGUUGAUAUUGAAUCUGGGUGUCAGAAAUCAUGUGGUAGCAGACGCUAGGGCUCAAGGCUUAGGCAUUCACCAAGCUUGUCUGCGAACAUCGACAUGGACGAAGACUAAGAUAUGGGAUUGAAUAACGAGAUGAUUGAUAACAUGAAUCUCUGGAAUUUGCGGAGUUCUUGAAUUAUUAGUUGCUUCGAAAUAGUAAUUCUCGAUUUUUUUUUUUUUUUUUGGUUCGUGCACAUGACUUUGGAGUAUUAAGUCUCAUUUUGGUUUUGGCUUGAGAGUUGAGCAGCUGAUAUUGUUUUCUAAACAAUUGUCUACGACCUGUUCGAUGUAAUGCCACAGUGAAAUUUUUUUGCUUUUCCAGAUAUUUCUUGAGAUAUAAUGUCCUUAGUUUGGAAUGGUUAGGGGAUUGGAAAACCUGGGACAGUGCAAACUCUACGUGAGCUCCUUUAUAAAUAUUGCACUUGUAUAGUUUUUUUUAUAUAAAUUAAAUAGAGACAACAUUACAUGACAAUAUUGCAACUCCAUUGUGGUUAUUCUAACUCACUGUUUGUUGAUAGGUAUUAAAAGUGUUUG